AUUCCAUUGUGAGCUCGUCACGGAAAUGCCAGGACGAUUCUCUCUCAAGCUCGGUGUACACAGUGCCAGCACCCAUCCCUCUCCUUCCCACUGAGGUCCUGUAUCCAGCUUUAUAAUGCAACCCAGAAGCAUGAUGGAGAGGAAGAAUGAGGGGGAACAUCAUCAAUGUCUUUUUAGUUUGUGUACGCUUCAUUUAGAGGUGAUGCAAAUCGUCUACGCCACACCAAGCAACGCUGUAGUUGAAAGCAUGUUUGCACAAUGCUUAAAUGUGGUGACCCCUGAACAGAGAGUCUGCUGAUAGCCAUCAUCAAUGACGACUGAAAGAUAAGGGUACAGGGCGUUGCUCUGGUGUCUGAUGCAUAUCCAGCAAAACCAAAGGCUGUCAAGAACUAAGACCAGAUGGAUGCCUCCACCUGGAGAUCAGAUGGAUGCCCCUCACUGAGAGUAAAUGUAUGCCUCCGCCCAGAGACCAGAUGCCUCCCCCACCCGGAGACCAGCCCCGUGUAUAACUGACCAGUUAUCUUUGUUCUGUAAGAAGGUUUUUUCGGACAUUAGUCAGCCAUCUUCCCUCUUGCUAGCAAGCUGUAAUAAAAAGUCCUUUCUCUGCUAUCUCCUUGUCUCUUGA